CCUACGGGGGGCAGCAGUGGGGAAUAUUGGACAAUGGGCGAAAGCCUGAUCCAGCCAUGCCGCGUGUGUGAAGAAGGCCUUCGGGUUAUAAAGCACUUUCAGUGGGGAAGAAAGCCUUGGGGCUAAUACCCUCGAGGAAGGACAUCACCCACAGAAGAAGCACCGGCUAACUCCGUGCCAGCAGCCGCGGUAAUACGGAGGGUGCGAGCGUUAAUCGGAAUUACUGGGCGUAAAGCGCGCGUAGGCGGUCUGAUAAGCCGGUUGUGAAAGCCCCGGGCUCAACCUGGGAACGGCAUCCGGAACUGUCAGGCUAGAGUGCAGGAGAGGAAGGUAGAAUUCCCGGUGUAGCGGUGAAAUGCGUAGAGAUCGGGAGGAAUACCAGUGGCGAAGGCGGCCUUCUGGACUGACACUGACGCUGAGGUGCGAAAGCGUGGGUAGCAAACAGGAUUAGAUACCCUAGUAGUC
rnacentral:rRNA from 1 species